CGGCCGGGGUCGCGGCUGGGAGGCCGUGUUCUGAGAACGCCGCAGCUGUAGUGGGUGCAGUGACUCCUGCUAGAGGCUGAUCAGAUCCACCGUGAGUUCAGUGACUGGAAAAGGCCCAGUGCCCCUGCCUCUGGGGUUCAAUGUCUCUCAUCACAUUUGGACUUUCCCAUUGAGAGGGUGCAGUUCCCAAGGUCUGGUUUUCAUAGAAGAGUCUUCAUGCAGCUCUUCAAAUAUGCUGUUUCCAGUCAUCAAUAUAGUUCGCUGUGCAUUGGUGAAAGAUACAAUUCCUCAUGAACUGAUGCCUAAGGCCCCACAGCUACCUGCUACGGCCCAGUCCUAACAGAAGCUCACGCUGAUAUUAGUGAGGAGAAGACACCAGUCCUCAUUAACUGUCUGGUGGCUAACACCCUGCGGCACACCUGCUGCUGACAAGUCCAAACACAGGCUGCAUCUCAUCCUGAGUGAACCAAAGCCAUCUUCCUCAAUAACUUUCUGAUGGCUGACGCCCUAAGCACACCUGCUACUGCUCAGUCUUAACAGAGGCUUUCCAUGAUCCUUAAUGAACAGGGGCAAGUAAACAAAACUAUGCUGGCAUUAUUCGAAAACAGAGGAAUGUCUCUUACUUUCAAAAACAAGAGGAAGACUGACAAAGAUUCUUUUAAAAUUAUCCCAUUAUUAAAUAUUGGGGGAUCAUGUGGUUAAUGACAUUAUACUAACUUGUACAACUACACAAUACAACAUAGCACACUCCAGUUUGUGCUCAACACCCACAGGAUAGCAUCCUUGGGUUUGAACUCCUUUGCCAUCGUAUCCUCACUCAUGCUUUUUCCCCUCAGGUGACCGCCACGGAAAAAGUCUGCAGCGCAGCCGUCCAGUUUCCGGUUGGAUAUUGACAUCAUGCAAAGUCACCGGACAAAUAGGAAAACUCAAGGUAUCUGAGGCCCGGACACACCUCCAUGACCAGCCGGCUGCCUCGGAGCUGGGGACUCCGUGCUUCCUGCCGUCAGCAGAUCCAGCCUCAGAAACAGACCAGUUUACAAUCAUCUCUGAAAACUGCCACAAAUGGGCGGCCUGUUCUAAGCCGGGUCACCCAGGAAGGACGGGGGUAAGAGGGACAUUUUGCUCCAGAAACAGAAUGUCCAAAAAGGCCCAGCCCAUUAUUUUCCCCAGAAACGUUUGGAGGAGAGUAAAAUCCCAACAUGAGCUUCGAAGGCCCCUGUGCCCAGGGGAUGGCGUUGCCUGCUGAGGAGGGGCAGCAGGGGACACGGGCAGUUUCUCCACAGGCCGCAGCGGGAAGCUGGGCAGGAGCCUGGCGGGCCCCGGGUUCUCUAAGAGGUUCUUCUAGAAACAGACCCCUCAGAUGCUUCCUCUCACUUCAGGUAAGAAGUUACUGUUAAGGCACUUGGGGAGUUUCCCUUCUUCAGAAAGGAGGCACAGAUAUGUGAGUCAUCAGUGCAGCCUUAGUGGGAGACCUGAAGGUGGGGGACCCCGUAGAAGUGGACAAAGGCUGCUGCCACCACCAUGACACUAAAUACCCAACGUGACUGGUUCCAUGUGUCAACUUAAUAGGACCGAGCGCUCUGUAACUGGAGCAGCCUGGAGGCCAGCUCUGGGCUGCACAGCCCAGCCAUGAGGAAGAGCCGGCCCAGCUGCCUGCGUGUGUCCUUGACACAGCCCCUGGCACCGUUCUGACGGCAACUGGCAGUGAGUCUCAAGGCUCGGAGCACAGGACUGGCCUGCAGGGAGCAGACACUCAUCCCAAGACCCCCUGCUGCUGAGUUCCAUCCGGAGGUUGUCAGAGAGCAGCUGCUGCCGUAGCCGGGCCUCAUCUGAGUGUGUGCCAGCUUCAUGCAGAGCACAAGGCAUGUCUGCAGGUGUCGGAGAGCAUUCCCCUAACCAGGAAUGGCCUUCAGCGUGGAAAAGACGGUCUUUAGUGAAAGAGACCUCUCCAGAGACCUCAGCCAGCCAUGCAAAGACUAUCGAGUUAUCCCAGGAUCCGAGAUCACAUCUGCAGACUUUGUAACAGCCAGAGUCAAUGGCUUAAGGAGACUUUCUGAUUUUCCCCACAUCUCGCUGGAAGCAUAGAGGUAAACCAUUGGUGCCCUGAAGCUCCUCAGGCAGCAUCGGGAGCCCUGGACAUAAGCUCAGCAGGCGAUAAAGUGAUGAGAGGGAGCAUGUUCGUGUGUGCUGUUUCAGAUUGCGUGUCAUCACCAAAGACGGGAACUGGAUGCAGGAACCCCGCUGGUUCCCACCGCAGUCCUCACGCCUCCGUCCAGGGACGCUAUAGCCCAGUGUCUAGCUCUUGCCUUGCUUGGCAGGGCCCAGGAAUCAAAACCGAGUUUUGUAACACUUAACCAUUGACUUCCUUUCCUUUUCAAGACUCCGUUGCUCACUAACUGUCUGAAUGUUAAUGCUCUCAGACAAUUGCUACUGCCCAGCCGCCACAGAUUAUUCGCCUGGUUUUUACUGAACAAAUGAUAGGCAAACAAAUACAUGUUCUUAUUA